UCUUGGUUAAUCAAUUUUUCAUAUUAUUUUCUAUUUCUGUUUUGCAAAGAAAAUUGAAAUAUAUGUGAACUUUAAAAUAUAUAAUUAUUGGGCAUUCUGACUUUUGAGCAUUUAUUCUGUGGAAAAAUUAUAAGUUGACAUGGUCUUUGUUGGUUUGGAAAUAUUUUACGUUUUUUUUCUUUAGUAGUAACAAAAUAAAUAUGAUAUUAAAGUCACAUGCUUUGAUUAAAUCCUUAAAAUUCAAUUAUAAAGCAAAAUUGCAGAUGGGUUGCAUCUCCAGUUAUCCCCUAAUAAAAGCUAAACCCCAAAAGAAUAUAAUUUAAACAGUAAGGGGGAAAAAGAACCCAAAUCUGCAUUGGGUUAUGCAUACGAACAAAACAAACUGUUUUCUUCCUAAAGAAAAAGAGAGCCAUUAAUGACCUUUUACAGAAAUAAAGAAGAAAACAUGAUAAACAAAAAAGGGUAGAAAACCCAUUUUUGCAACUCCUCUAAUAUUCAUCCUUUGUUAAAAAAAAAAGAAAAGAAAAGAAAAGAGUUUUGUAUUUGUUUAAUGUGCUAAACGAAUAGGUAGGAAAGCUAAAACGAGGAAAAGGGUAUCUAGAAAAGAAAUGCAAAGACGAAAUCAAGAAGGAAACACCAUGGAAUUGGUGUGUGUUGGCGGGGAAGUAAAACAGGGUUUAUUGCUGCAGAAACAGGAAGAGAAGACGAGUUUGAGGACUCUCUUGAGGACUUGGCCACGUAAAGGAAUCCAACGAGGCGCUACGCCAGUUGCCACAGCAGCAGCACGUAGGGGAUAUCCAGGAAGCCCCGCAGUUGUAGGUCGGUAAGUGGGCGCAUCCAUUGAUUGCAAGUGGGCAGCGAGAAUAUGCCGGGGAGGAUCGUUGGCUUUUGGAUUUUCAGUUUGGCACACAACCAAUUAUAAAAGCGUGGGCAAACCGAGUGAAGCAGCGUGUGAAGGCCCAAGGGGCCUAGUCCUCUCACCCUACCAUUCAAUUCCUUUCCAAUUUUCCAAGCAGCCAAAUACACGCUUACUACACAGCUGGGUUGGUUCAAUGUAAACCUAUUAAUAUGUCAUCUAUAUAUUUCCAAAACGUUGCUUCUUAAAGCUCUUACCCUUUAAAUUUUCCCUCUACAAUCCCCAAUACAUGGUCAUUUCUUCCUUUUAUAUAGGCAUAAUAACUUUUUUUGUCCUCAAAAUUUAUAAAAAUAAUCAUUUUAACCCCAUUUAAUUUUUCUGUCUCUUUUUAUAUCAAUGAUUUAAUAGCACAUUGUUAAGUAUCAGAGUUUAAAGGCCCAUUUAUAUCAAUGGCGCCUUCAAUGCGUUAAAUUUUCAAAGUGUAAAAUUUCCCAACAUAAACCUAGCCAUAUAUUGGUGUGAUUGGCACACCACCAAUGAAAUGACCACAAAAUUUUGAUAGGAGUUCCAAGGACCAACGAACAGAUAGGAAGCUCCAAAAUAAAGGUCAUUCGGUCCGACAAGACUGGGUCAUUGCUUGAAAAGGACUUAAAACUCAUCUUCUCCAAUCCUAGUUAAACUGUAUUUUUACCAGGAUAAUUAUUGUAAGUACUAGAGAAUAAAGAUGUUUAGAGUUUAAAUUUCUUAGAACUCUCUUGUUGUAGAUGAGAACUAAUCUCAGCUAUUGAUGUAAUUCAAUCUGUAUUGUUGGAUUUGGGGAAGCUCAACUAUAACUAGAGCCCUCUCCUUUCAUUUGUAAUCAUUUUAUUCUUUGAAUUAAAAAUACUUUUGAGAGCA